rnacentral:rRNA from 1 species
AGAGUUUGAUCAUGGCUCAGAAUGAACGUUGGCGGCGUGGAUUAGGCAUGCAAGUCGUGCGGCAGCAGGCCCCGCAAGGGGUGCUGGCGAGCGGCGUAAGGGAGAGGAACACGCGGGUACCUGCCCUCAGGACCGGGAUAGCUGCGGGAAACUGCAAUUAAUACCGGAUGAUGUCUCCGGACCAAAGGUGUAAUUCCGCCGGAGGAGGGGCCCACGUCCUAUCAGCUAGUUGGAGAGGUAACGGCUCACCAAGGCGACGACGGGUACGGGGUGUGAGAGCAUGCCCCCGCUCACUGGGACUGAGACACUGCCCAGACACCUACGGGUGGCUGCAGUCGAGAAUCUUCCGCAAUGGGCGAAAGCCUGACGGAGCGACGCCGCGUGCGGGAUGAAGGCCUUCGGGUUGUAAACCGCUGUCAGUGGGGAGCAAAUGCAUGGGGGUUCUCCCCUGUGCUUGAGCGAUCCGCAGAGGAAGCGCAGGCUAAGUUCGUGCCAGCAGCCGCGGUAACACGAACUGCGCAAACGUUAUUCGGAAUCACUGGGCUUAAAGAGUUCGUAGGCGGCGCGUUAAGUCGGGUGUGAAAGCCCUCGGCUCAACCGAGGAAUUGCGCCCGAAACUGGCGUGCUUGAGUGAGAUAGAGGUGAGCGGAACUGAUGGUGGAGCGGUGAAAUGCGUUGAUAUCAUCAGGAACACCGGUGGCGAAGGC